GACGAACGCUGGCGGCGUGCUUAACACAUGCAAGUCGAACGGUAAGGCCCUUUCGGGGGUACACGAGUGGCGAACGGGUGCGUAACACGUGGGUGAUCUGCCCUGCACUUUGGGAUAAGCCUGGGAAACUGGGUCUAAUACCGGAUAGGACUACGCGAUGCAUGUCGUGUGGUGGAAAGCUUUUGCGGUGUGGGAUGGGCCCGCGGCCUAUCAGCUUGUUGGUUGGGUGAUGGCCUACCAAGGCGACGACGGGUAGCCGGCCUGAGAGGGUGUCCGGCCACACUGGGACUGAGAUACGGCCCAGACUCCUACGGGAGGCAGCAGUGGGGAAUAUUGCACAAUGGGCGCAAGCCUGAUGCAGCGACGCCGCGUGGGGGAUGACGGCCUUCGGGUUGUAAACCACUUUCAGCACAGACGAAGCGUAAGUGACGGUAGGUGAAGAAGAAGCACCGGCCAACUACGUG
rnacentral:rRNA from 1 species